UACAGAGACUGCGAGCGUUGUUCGGAUUCACUGGGCGUAAAGGGUGCGUAGGCGGUCGGGUAAGUCUGAUGUGAAAUCUCACAGCUUAACUGUGAAACUGCAUUGGAUACUAUCCGGCUAGAGGAAUGGAGGGGAGACUGGAAUACUUGGUGUAGCAGUGAAAUGCGUAGAUAUCAAGUGGAACACCAGUGGCGAAGGCGAGUCUCUGGACAUUUCCUGACGCUGAGGCACGAAAGCCAGGGGAGCAAACGGG
rnacentral:rRNA from 1 species